GGGGAGGAGACGGUGGGACGACGGGAUCCGCUCACCAGGCCCUGGCGACCUGAGCAUCUACGACAACUGGAUCCGGUACUUCAACCGCAGCAGCCCGGUGUACGGCCUCGUCCCCAGCUUGGGUUCUCUGGGUGCUGGCAGCGACUAUGCACCCUUCAUUCACUUCCUGGGCAUCUCCUCCAUGGACAUCGCCUAUACCUAUGACCGGAGCAAGACUUCAGCCAGGAUCUACCCCACCUACCACACAGCCUUUGACACCUUUGACUAUAUGGACAAGUUUUUGGACCCAGGUGAGGAGGGAGACAAGGGGCAUCCUGAGACCAGGACAGGAGAGGCUGAAGAUUGAGCCCUGGCCCUGUGACUUUGCCGCAGGCUUCAGCAGCCAUCAGGCUGUGGCCCGGACAGCGGGGAGUGUGAUUCUCCGGCUCAGUGACAGCUUCUUCCUGCCCCUCAAAGUCAGUGACUACAGUGAGACACUCCGCAGCUUCCUGCAGGCAGCCGAGCAAGACCUCGGGGCUCUGCUGGAGCAGCACAGCAUCAGCCUGGGUAUGCAUAGCCGUGACCCUGAGGCAUGGGGAGCCCUGCACCCCCAGGACUAAGCCACUGCUUGUUCCUCACAGGGCCUCUGGUGACUGCAGUGGAGAAGUUUGAGGCAGAAGCUUCAGCCUUGGGCCAACG
rnacentral:sRNA from 1 species